rnacentral:rRNA from 1 species
UUGAACGCUGGCGGCAGGCCUAACACAUGCAAGUCGAACGGUAACAGGAAACAGCUUGCUGUUUCGCUGACGAGUGGCGGACGGGUGAGUAAUGUCUGGGAAACUGCCUGAUGGAGGGGGAUAACUACUGGAAACGGUAGCUAAUACCGCAUAACGUCGCAAGACCAAAGAGGGGGACCUUCGGGCCUCUUGCCAUCGGAUGUGCCCAGAUGGGAUUAGCUAGUAGGUGGGGUAACGGCUCACCUAGGCGACGAUCCCUAGCUGGUCUGAGAGGAUGACCAGCCACACUGGAACUGAGACACGGUCCAGACUCCUACGGGAGGCAGCAGUGGGGAAUAUUGCACAAUGGGCGCAAGCCUGAUGCAGCCAUGCCGCGUGUAUGAAGAAGGCCUUCGGGUUGUAAAGUACUUUCAGCGGGGAGGAAGGGAGUAAAGUUAAUACCUU